rnacentral:rRNA from 1 species
UUCGGGACAACUCUGGGAAACUGGAGCUAAUACCGGAUACGCCCUUUUGGGGAAAGGUUUACUGCCGAAGGAUCGGCCCGCGUCUGAUUAGCUAGUUGGUGGGGUAACGGCCUACCAAGGCGACGAUCAGUAGCUGGUCUGAGAGGAUGAUCAGCCACACUGGGACUGAGACACGGCCCAGACUCCUACGGGAGGCAGCAGUGGGGAAUAUUGGACAAUGGGCGCAAGCCUGAUCCAGCCAUGCCGCGUGAGUGAUGAAGGCCUUAGGGUUGUAAAGCUCUUUUAUCCGGGACGAUAAUGACGGUACCGGAGGAAUAAGCCCCGGCUAACUUCGUGCCAGCAGCCGCGGUAAUACGAAGGGGGCUAGCGUUGCUCGGAAUCACUGGGCGUAAAGGGCGCGUAGGCGGCGUUUUAAGUCGGGGGUGAAAGCCUGUGGCUCAACCACAGAAUGGCCUUCGAUACUGGGACGCUUGAGUCUGGUAGAGGUUGGUGGAACUGCGAGUGUAGAGGUGAAAUUCGUAGAUA